rnacentral:tRNA from 1 species
GUUUUAAUAGUUUAACAAAAACAUUGGUCUUGUAAAUCAAAAUUAAAUAUAUAAUUUUUAAAACU